GACGAACGCUGGCGGCGUGCCUAAUACAUGCAAGUUGAGCGCUUAAGGUUGGUACUUGUACCAACUGGAUGAGCAGCGAACGGGUGAGUAACGCGUGGGGAAUCUGCCUUUGAGCGGGGGACAACAUUUGGAAACGAAUGCUAAUACCGCAUAAAAACUUUAAACACAAGUUUUAAGUUUGAAAGAUGCAAUUGCAUCACUCAAAGAUGAUCCCGCGUUGUAUUAGCUAGUUGGUGAGGUAAAGGCUCACCAAGGCGAUGAUACAUAGCCGACCUGAGAGGGUGAUCGGCCACAUUGGGACUGAGACACGGCCCAAACUCCUACGGGAGGCAGCAGGAGGGAAUCUUCGGCAAUGGACGAAAGUCUGAACGAGCAACGCCGCGUGAGUGAAGAAGGGUUUCGGAUCGGAAAACUCUGUUGGUAGGGAAGAACGUUGGUGAGGGUGGAAAGCUCAUCAAGUGACGGUAACUACCCAGAAAGGAACGGCUAACUACGUG
rnacentral:rRNA from 1 species